rnacentral:rRNA from 1 species
GAUGAACGCUAGCUACAGGCUUAACACAUGCAAGUCGAGGGGAAACGAUAUUGGAAGCUUGCUUCCGAUAGGCGUCGACCGGCGCACGGGUGAGUAACGCGUAUCCAACCUGCCCACCACUUGGGGAUAACCUUGCGAAAGUAAGACUAAUACCCAAUUACGUCCAUAGAAGACAUCUGAAAUGGAUUAAAGAUUUAUCGGUGAUGGAUGGGGAUGCGUCUGAUUAGCUUGUUGGCGGGGUAACGGCCCACCAAGGCGACGAUCAGUAGGGGUGCUAAGAGGAAGGUCGCCCACAUAGGAACUGAGACACGGUCCAAACUCCUACGGGAGGCAGCAGUGAGGAAUAUUGGUCAAUGGGCGAGGGCCUGAACCAGCCAAGUAGGGUGCAGGAUGACGGCCCUAUGGGUUGUAAACUGCUUUUAUAAGGGAAUAAAGUGAGUCUCGUGAGACUUUUUGCAUGUACCUUAUGAAUAAGGCCCGGCUAAUUCCGUGCCAGCAGCCGCCGUAA